rnacentral:tRNA from 2 species
GCCUGAAUAGCUCAGUUGGUAGAGCAGCUGUUUUGUAAACAGCAGGUCGUCAGUCCGAAUCUGACUUCAGGCU